AACUCCUAGGCUGAAACCCGGCGCUUCCUGGAAAGUUCCCUCCGCGCGGCGCCUUCCCCCGGCCGGAGGUCUGUCGUGUUUCGGGGCCGAGCCUUGCUGGUUUUCUGUCUCUGAGCUUUGCUCGCAGCAGUGACUUGAGCUGCCGGCAUCGGGCGGCCCCUCCAGCGCCGCGACUGCAGUCCGCCGGGCAUUUACGCAGCCGUGUCCCGUGCAGCGACUUCAGCACCCCGGUGGCUGCUUAGGUUAGCGCCGCCUGGUCCCCGCUUCAAGUUUACAGAUAAGAUGCAGGAUGAAGAGACAAGAACGACUUUAUCCCAGGAAAACAACAACUUGGAAAAAGUUGGAAAAAGAGUUCCUUGGUUGGUUUCCAUGGCUGGGGCUGUUUGGAAUGACCUCCCUCGGGUGCUGGCUCGCCCUCCAGCUACCGUCAGAUUUACAGUUUCACAGAAAUAGUUCCUGUGUUCCAAGUACUGUCCAGAACUGGAAGACAAGUUUUGAAACUCACCUUGUGAGACAGAGACUAAGAGAUAUCUUCCAAGAAAUGAGAUUGGCCAUUAGCAGAAAUGCCAUGACUUGCUAAUGUGUGACUGAUCAGAUUGGACUGUUUACCAAAUCUCAACCCAUGACAAG
rnacentral:lncRNA from 1 species